rnacentral:rRNA from 1 species
UACAGAGGUCUCAAGCGUUGUUCGGAUUCAUUGGGCGUAAAGGGUGCGUAGGUGGCGCCGUAAGUCGGGGUGUGAAAUUUCGAGGCUUAACCUCGAAACUGCAUUCGAUACUGCGGUGCUUGAGGACUGGAGAGGAGACUGGAAUUCAUGGUGUAGCAGUGAAAUGCGUAGAGAUCAUGAGGAAGACCAGUGGCGAAGGCGGGUCUCUGGACAGUUCCUGACACUGAGGCACGAAGGCCAGGGGAGCAAACGGG